rnacentral:rRNA from 1 species
ACGCUCGACACCUACGAGAGGCAGCAGUGAGGAAUAUUGGUCAAUGGGCGCUAGCCUGAACCAGCCAAGUAGCGUGAAGGAUGAAGGCUCUAUGGGUCGUAAACUUCUUUUAUAUAAGAAUAAAGUGCAGUAUGUAUACUGUUUUGUAUGUAUUAUAUGAAUAAGGAUCGGCUAACUCCGUGCCAGCACGCCGGUACGGUUAAUCGUGAGGCGGUCGUGGACGAGGC